rnacentral:rRNA from 1 species
ACGCGACCCCAGGUCAAGCGAGGCUACCCGCUGAGUUUAAGCAUAUC